rnacentral:piRNA from 1 species
UGUAAUGAUGUGACAGUGUUGCUGAUUUCUU